rnacentral:rRNA from 1 species
AGAGUUUGAACCUGGCUCAGGACUAACGCUGGCGGCGUGCUUAACACAUGCAAGUUGAACGGAGCAUUGCAAGUAGCAAUACGAGCAGUGCUUAGUAGCGGACGGGUGAGUAACGCGUGAGCAACCUGCCUUUGUGAGGGGGACAACAGCCGGAAACGGCUGCUAAUACCGCAUGAGACCACUACUCCGAGUGGAGUUGGGGUAAAAGAUUUUAUCGCACAAAGAUGGGCUCGCGUCCCAUUAGCUAGUUGGUGAGGUAACGGCCCACCAAGGCGACGAUGGGUAGCCGACCUGAGAGGGUGAUCGGCCACACUGGAACUGAGACACGGUCCAGACUCCUACGGGAGGCAGCAGUGGGGAAUAUUGGGCAAUGGGCGCAAGCCUGACCCAGCAACGCCGCGUGAGGGAAGAAGGUCCUCGGAUUGUAAACCUCUGUCCUUGGGGACGAAGGAAGUGACGGUACCCAAGGAGGAAGCUCCGGCUAACUACGUGCCAGCAGCCGCGGUAAUACGUAGGGAGCGAGCGUUGUCCGGAAUUACUGGGCGUAAAGGGUGCGUAGGCGGCGAAGCAAGUCAGAUGUGAAAUCCCCGGGCUUAACUCGGGGGGUGCAUUUGAAACUGCAUUGCUUGAGUGCAGGAGAGGAAAGCGGAAUUCCUAGUGUAGCGGUGAAAUGCGUAGAUAUUAGGAAGAACACCAGUGGCGAAGGCGGCUUUCUGGACUGUAACUGACGCUGAGGCACGAAAGCGUGGGGAGCAAACAGGAUUUAGAUACCCUGGUAGUCCACGCUGUUAAACGAUUGGAUACUAGGGUGUGGGGGGACAUACCACCUUCUGUGCCGGAGCAAACGCAAUAAGUAUCCCGCCUGCGGAAGUACCGGCCCGCAAGGGCUGGAAA